CCCUUAGAGUUUGAUCCUGGCUCAGGAUGAACGCUAGCUACAGGCUUAACACAUGCAAGUCGAGGGGCAGCAUUUCAGUUUGCUUGCAAACUGGAGAUGGCGACCGGCGCACGGGUGAGUAACACGUAUCCAACCUGCCGAUAACUCGGGGAUAGCCUUUCGAAAGAAAGAUUAAUACCCGAUAGUAUAAUGAAACCGCAUGGUCUUAUUAUUAAAGAAUUUCGGUUAUCGAUGGGGAUGCGUUCCAUUAGGCAGUUGGUGAGGUAACGGCUCACCAAACCUUCGAUGGAUAGGGGUUCUGAGAGGAAGGUCCCCCACAUUGGAACUGAGACACGGUCCAAACUCCUACGGGAGGCAGCAGUGAGGAAUAUUGGUCAAUGGGCGCAGGCCUGAACCAGCCAAGUAGCGUGAAGGAUGACUGCCCUAUGGGUUGUAAACUUCUUUUAUAUGGGAAUAAAGUUUUCCAC
rnacentral:rRNA from 1 species